rnacentral:rRNA from 1 species
GAACGCUGGCGGCGUGCUUAACACAUGCAAGUCGAGCGGUAAGGCCCUUCGGGGUACCCGAGCGGCGAACGGGUGAGUAACACGUGAGUAAUCUGCCCAUCACUUCGGGAUAACUCCGGGAAACCGGUGCUAAUACCGAAUAUGACCACUUCAGGCAUCUGAUGGUGGUGGAAAGUUCCGGCGGUGAUGGAUGAGCUCGCGGCCUAUCAGCUUGUUGGUGGGGUAGUGGCCUACCAAGGCUACGACGGGUAGCCGGCCUGAGAGGGUGACCGGCCACACUGGGACUGAGACACGGCCCAGACUCCUACGGGAGGCAGCAGUGGGGAAUAUUGGACAAUGGGCGAAAGCCUGAUCCAGCAACGCCGCGUGAGGGAUGACGGCCUUCGGGUUGUAAACCUCUUUCAGCAGGGACGAAGCGCAAGUGACGGUACCUGCAGAAGAAGCACCGGCCAACUACGUG